rnacentral:lncRNA from 1 species
AUGGUACAGGCAGGGUGGGCCCUGACUCUGAUCCUCCUGGUGGCCCUGCCAGCCCAGGAUGUUGGGGCUGCUCCGUGGCGAGCACAGGCAGUGGCACUGGAGCGUGAGACUGCGCAGGAGAAAGCACCUCAAGAAGGCCAUCAGACAGUGCCAGUUCCUGGGGAAAACACCAGGGCCUUUCACACCACAGGUCCAAAGUAUCAAGAUGGAAGGGGACAAUCUUCCAUAGAGACAUCCAAAGUGCUACAUGAAAUCCUGAGGGAGCUGAAGAUGAUACUCGGAGGUGUGAACAGCCUGAGCCUCAACAGCGCUGUCAGCAGGAGAUCCACCAGUGCUGGAAACAGCAGGGCAGACCCAAACGCUGUGGAUAACGGAGAAGACCCAAACGCUGUGGUGGGCAGAGCAGACACAAAUGCUGUGGAUGCAAAUUCUUUCCAGAACUACUGCAUCGAAGGCAUCGUGGCAGUCCUUGGCUCGAUGCUGCUGGGAAUGGUGCUGUGUUGUGCACUCCAUCUGUGGAGGAAGAGGAAAAAGCGCCUUGCAGCUUCCUGAGCCAGUUCAGAGCACCUGGACAGCUGGACAGAAGCCAGCAGAAUAUUUGGAAUGGUAUAAAUAAAGAGCAGCAGCACAAUCA